GGUGGUCCGAUUCUGUUGGACCCUCUGCCGCCUAUCAGAGUACUCUUUAUUGCUUCACUAGUCAUAAAGGGCCUGCCAUAUGUCCGUCCGCAUCUAGUGAUCUGUAAGGACCUCCAAUCUGAUGGUGACUUGGAAUCAGUGUGCUGGAUGGUGGACUGCUUGAGACUAUAGAGGCCAUCUUGGGACCUCCAUGCGGUCACCUCUUCGAAGGUCCGAC
rnacentral:lncRNA from 1 species